AUGGUGUUGGUCGUGUUCGUCAUAGAACCACCUAUCCCAGUGGGACGAGUCCUCGACGAAUUCCGGGUUGUGGCGAAGGUGCACGGGGACUACCUUUUCCUAGUCACGGCGAGCACAUACAUGUCGUUGCGCACUAGUGUUGCAGCCCUCGGCAACGUCAUGGUGAAGGAUCGUUCUCCGCCGCCAACCAGCCCUUCGCAGGCCCGAUCCACCCCUUCGCCCCCGCCGCGGCCGAUCCAUCCCUGUGCCGCGGCCGAUCCUAACCUUCGCCGUCGCCCACUCCUGUCGAUCCCAUCUAUCGUUGCCGCUGCAGCCGCCGCAAAAAAAAUCCAUCGACCCCUCCCAUCGAUCGUUGCCGCCGCCGCCGUCCGAGGGGCAGACGCCGCCGCCGCCGCAGUACAAGGGGGAGACGCCGCCGCCGCUGCUGCAAGGCAUGGCGGUUUGAACCCCGCCCCCGCCUCUGCAAGGCAGGGUGGUUUGAAUCCCGCCCCCGCCGCUGCAAGGCAUGCUCACCAAGAUGUUCGGCGAGGCCGGCGACUACGACGGCAUCCAGCGAUCGGCAAGACCGGCAAGUUGGGGCUGGCCCGCAGCCUGUUCGAGGAAAUGUCCGCCGAGGGGGUCGAGCCCAACGAGCGCACGCGCACCGCGGUGGCCAAGAUCUGUUGCCGGGCACGCUGGGGACGCGACGUGCUCCAGCUCUGGGACAAGAUGCGCGACAAGAAGAUCCCCGCCCACAACAUCCUCUGCAACACGCAUGUGCGCCGACGUGGGGCUGGACUAGAGAGGCCGGGAUUGAGCAAGGGCGCUGGAGAUAUUGUGUCAAUAGUGGGCAUCUUGAUGCAGUUGCGCUUGUCGAGGUUGAGGGAAGCAAUUGACGUGCAUGCCAAGAGGAGUUAUUCUGUGGCAACCCACAGUUCUUGUUUUGGUGCCUUAAAAAAUCAUCUUAAUCGGAUACUGAUAUCACUUAUGCAAGAGUCAUGUUUGAUCAUUAAAAGAAAUGGCCACGGAUCCCCACGGACGCCGCCACUGCCGCGGAUCCCCACGGAUGAUGCAGACGCCGCCGAACAGAGCAGGAUGUGGUCGCGUUGCACUGAUUGGAGGAGACCGUGCCGGCCGUGCGCUGUUUGGAGGACGAACACAGGUAUUAAUCUGUUCGAGUAUGCAUGGGCCUCAAAGAACCGAGCAAAGCAUCCCAUUCAUUUCAAUCAUUGCAUGUGUUUGCUCUGCAGGUUCACCGCCAUGGCUAUGAGAGGACGCAUUUGUGUUCAGUUGUUCGGGCAGAGGAGGCACUUUGUUGAAGCAUCAAAAGCUUGUGUCCCCUUUGGACUAGGGAAGUAUAAACUGUAUGUUCUAUUCUGCAGCUCCUGCUGCUGCUAUAUUGACCUCUACUUGAAGUCAGGAGCCAAAUUGAAGAUCAAAUUCAGAUUCGAAGGUGAACUUCUGUUUUCUGCGAAGUUUAGAAUCUCGUUGUUUCCUAUGCCUGCCGGCUGCCGCUCAUGUACUGCACAUGCAGUGGGAGUACAUUGUUGUUUCGUGUCAUUUGCCUCCCUCACCCCAUCGAUUGACAGGGCAUCGCAUGCCCAGCACGGCGUCUCCCGUAAAUCAAGGAACAUGGGCCUCGCGACGAGGGUGCGGGUGGAGCACGGCCAUCCGUUGAUAGGAGGGAGCUGGGGGAGGGGUGAUGCAAGCCACUUGUGGGCGAUGGAUGUAGAAGAGGAGGAGCACUGGAUGGCAGUGGCGGAGCCUUGGCUCAUCAACGGUCGUCGGCUCAUGGUCUUGGCGAUUGCAUGCAUAGCACGGAUGUUUUGGAAGGCGGGGUUACGAUUGUUUGGCCUCUACGAGGCUCCGCCAGUGUUGGAUGAAUAUUGUGCUUACUCCUAUCUCUCGCCCUCUUGCAGGCUUUCAAAAGUGAGGCUAGGGCGCGGAGGUGAGGCCAAAUUGGCGUGUGAAUGUUUUGGCAGCAAGAAACACUUGCAAAUGUAUGUCUUCUGGAUCGACUUCGACUUCGCCGCAUUUAAGCAUCCACUAGGUUAUGGCCAAAAUAACCCCUCGAAGACCAAUGCCAACCUAUGCCAAAUUACCGACCACAUGCAUCAGUGGCGAGGCGAGGCGGCUCCGAUUUCAGAGACAAGCAAGGAAGAAGAAAUAUGCAAUGAUUGCACCCGUGGAGGAUCCCGUCCAAGCCGUACGCCCAUCACUCACCAUCAUUGCCACUCGGACCAUGGUACAUCAGCUCCGACUUCAAAGCAAGGAAACAAGAGGAAAGAUAUCCGACGAACGAUCGCCAGAAACCAGUCCCUAACAAACACCCCCACAGCCACAUGA
rnacentral:rRNA from 1 species